rnacentral:rRNA from 1 species
CCACGGGGGGCUGCAGUGGGGAAUAUUGGACAAUGGGGGCAACCCUGAUCCAGCCAUGCCGCGUGUGUGAAGAAGGCCCUCGGGUUGUAAAGCACUUUCAGUGAGGAAGAACGCCUGGUGGUUAAUACCCAUCAGGAAAGACAUCACUCACAGAAGAAGCACCGGCUAACUCCGUGCCAGCAGCCGCGGUAAUACGGAGGGUGCGAGCGUUAAUCGGAAUUACUGGGCGUAAAGCGCGCGUAGGUGGCUUGAUAAGCCGGUUGUGAAAGCCCCGGGCUCAACCUGGGAACGGCAUCCGGAACUGUCAAGCUAGAGUGCAGGAGAGGAAGGUAGAAUUCCCGGUGUAGCGGUGAAAUGCGUAGAGAUCGGGAGGAAUACCAGUGGCGAAGGCGGCCUUCUGGACUGACACUGACACUGAGGUGCGAAAGCGUGGGUAGCAAACAGGAUUAGAUACCCUGGUAGUC